AUGGUCAUCACUGGCAUGUGUCAUAUGUUCUGUCUGUUCAUUUUAGAUCACAUGGCUACUAACAACAUUGCCCUGGACAAUCCCCUGGAUGCUCAGAGUAGACACUCCUUGUCCUGUGCCGCAUUUGGCUGUCAGCAUUAUAGUUUCAUUUUUUAUUCAGACACAAGAUCCAUGUAAGAAGUGUCCAGUGUCUACUUAUUGAACCAGACAAUUAGAUGCAUGCCACAGCUCAAAGAAACACACGCCAUUCUUUGCUGCUUCAGUACAUCUGGAGAACUUUGAACAGAGUUACCACGGGGUCUGGAUGUGUGGCUUUCACUUUCCUAAUCUCCUGCCUGACUCAUCCAGGAAGUGACAGCAUGUUACAGGGGCAACAAAUACGUCUUCAAGAGCUUGGUGCUUAUUUGUUCUGAUGCCAACAACUGGGCCAUGAAGUUGCAUUGGCUUUGGAAGCUAAAGAAAGGAGUGAGCUUCCCCUUUUUUGAAGUAUUUUUAAGGACAAGCCACCUCCUUCUUCCACAGUCCUGGAAUUUUGCCCUGAUAUCUGCCACAUUAUACACACACACUUGGGCCAGGAAGACAUUUUCUAACUGCUAAGAAAAACAAAUGAGGGAAAUGUGAACAGCCUGCAUCUAGCCUGUUACCUCAUCCUGAGCCACCUUGGCUGGUCAAUGGUUGUCAUUGCAUUCCUGGUUCCUCCUUCCUCUCUGCAGAAUAGAUUACAAAGUUUGUUGAGAAUCAAUAGUAAGAGAUACUAAUGGAAAGCAGGCAGCAGCAACAGUUCUAAGGCGCAAAGAGCGCAAUCUAUGCUAUUUCUAUGCAAAGUGACUUUUUUUGGUUUUAUUAAAAACAGAUCUUAAUAUUCUGAGAUACUGAAGUUGUUUUAACCAGUAGCCUGUCAAGGUGGCCUGUAUAUGGACUCAGGGGCAUGUGUACUUUAGAUAAUGGAGAUAGGACUGUGUGUAGUACACAAUCCCCUAGAAAAAUAUAAUCAAAUUAGAACUUCCAAUUUGAGAAAAACCUCUGCUAGGGUCUAAUGUGCUCCCUUUCUGCUCAAGGUUCACCUAUGGCAUGAGUCUACUCCUCCUCCUUCAGUCUCCAAGCCAGUUCUUCUUCUUGUAGGAACUGCUCCUGAUUCCCAAGUUCUAGUUCUACCAUCUGCCAUUUCAGGGGGUUAGUGCUGCAAGGCUGCUGGGCAUUCUCAUCUGAACAGAACUGCAAAAUCACAAGUAUCAAACAUGAUUGAAAGAGACCUGAGGUGGGUCCAUCAGAAAAGCAGAGCUGGCCAAAAAGGAAGCUGUUGCUAAUGGGAAUCCCAAGACUUCCCAAUCUCAGCAUGCUGGAUCAAAGAAUAAUCAGCAAUGACAAAACUGGGGAAAGGUGCCAAAGAGAAGUAACACAAGUCAACCAGCCUUCGGAAAAAUUCUCCCUUCCAAAACAAAUACUGUAUUUGGCUUUCCAAAUUUAACAUCCGUUGACUCCCUCAAAAGCUUUUAUAAACACAGCGAAACAGGACUGGCCCUCCAUCAAUCAAGAAGAGCAGUGAGAGAAGCGCUGAUGAUUUUCUUGUUCCUCUAAUUAAAGAAAAGGAAGUUUUUUACUUGAUUUUCUUCCCUCACUCUCCACUUAACUCAGUUCCUCAAGACAUUCUGCUUCACUAUAGGGUUCCCAAAGCCCAAUACGCUCCCCCUGCUACUGAACAUGUGAUGACUAAAAGGAAAAUCCUGCCACUGAGAUCUAUUAUGCUGUGGAGUUGUCUAUCGUAGUAAGUGGCAAAAGCAUCAUCACUUGGUACAUUUUAAACAGGACUAGACAAAGAAUAUACAUAGGGAAUAAUCCUAACAUGGCUGAAGGGGAAUAGUCUACAAGAGCGUAUUAAAUGGCAUUUUCCGUUUCUAAUUCUGAUGAUUUGUUGGUGCUGCUGUAAUACAAAUAUAUGAAUAAUAAUAAACAGUAAAAUUAUUAUUCCCA
rnacentral:lncRNA from 1 species